UGGGGAAUAUUGGACAAUGGGCGAAAGCCUGAUCCAGCCAUGCCGCGUGUGUGAAGAAGGUCUUCGGAUUGUAAAGCACUUUAAGUUGGGAGGAAGGGCAGUAAGCGAAUACCUUGCUGUUUUGACGUUACCGACAGAAUAAGCACCGGCUAACUCUGUGCCAGCAGCCGCGGUAAUACAGAGGGUGCAAGCGUUAAUCGGAAUUACUGGGCGUAAAGCGCGCGUAGGUGGUUCGUUAAGUUGAAUGUGAAAGCCCCGGGCUCAACCUGGGAACUGCAUCCAAAACUGGCGAGCUAGGGUAGGGCAGAGGGUGGUGGAAUUUCCUGUGGCGGUGAAAUGCGUAGAUAUAGGAAGGAACACCAGUGGCGAAGGCGACCACCUGGGCUCAUACUGACACUGAGGUGCGAAAGCGUGGGGAGCAAACAGG
rnacentral:rRNA from 1 species